rnacentral:rRNA from 1 species
UACGUAGGAGACGAGCGUUGUUCGGAUUUAUUGGGCGUAAAGGGUGCGUAGGCGGCGGAGUAAGUUGGGUGUGAAAUCCCGGGGCUUAACCUCGGAAUGGCAUUCAAUACUGCUUCGCUAGAGUACUGGAGAGGAGGCUGGAAUUUACGGUGUAGCAGUGAAAUGCGUAGAUAUCGUAAGGAAGGCCGGUGGCGAAAGCGAGCCUCCGGACAGUUACUGACGCUGAUGCACGAAGGCCAGGGGAGCAAACGGG